rnacentral:rRNA from 1 species
GACGAACGCUGGCGGCGUGCUUAACACAUGCAAGUCGAACGGAAAGGCCCUGCUUUUGUGGGGUGCUCGAGUGGCGAACGGGUGAGUAACACGUGAGUAACCUGCCCUUGACUUUGGGAUAACUUCAGGAAACUGGGGCUAAUACCGGAUAGGAGCUCCUGCUGCAUGGUGGGGGUUGGAAAGUUUCGGCGGUUGGGGAUGGACUCGCGGCUUAUCAGCUUGUUGGUGGGGUAGUGGCUUACCAAGGCUUUGACGGGUAGCCGGCCUGAGAGGGUGACCGGCCACAUUGGGACUGAGAUACGGCCCAGACUCCUACGGGAGGCAGCAGUGGGGAAUAUUGCACAAUGGGCGGAAGCCUGAUGCAGCAACGCCGCGUGCGGGAUGACGGCCUUCAGGUUGUAAACCGCUUUCGCCUGUGACGAAGCGUGAUUGACGGUAAUGGGUAAAGAAGCACCGGCUAACUACGUG